rfam:Nicotiana sylvestris Nsyl_contig105865, whole genome shotgun sequence.
UGGACAAAUUAUUAUAUUCGACUGUAUUCACAGCGUGAAACAAGGGAUUACACUGCUUUUAAACGGGAAGUGAAUCGAUUAACAUAAUAGACUCCU